UCUGUCUCACAAUAGCAAUCAAAUAUGACAGACAGAAUCUGGGCCUUUGGAGAAGAGGUAGAUGUUGCUGUCGGGGUUUUAGAUUAGCACUGAUAUCUGCUUUCGGAUGCUGUUGAAGCCAUCACGGCCAAGACCUGUAACUCCCAUUCCUCCCCCAGCUCCAUUAUGGUUGAUCCUGCCCUAUGUGUGUACCAAGAGCACAUAGCCAAAAUUCUGACGCUGUUACCAGACUGGCUUAUCAGAGGAAGCUGCCUAGUACUACAGUUGGUUGUCUUUCUCGGGCACCAUCUUUGUGUGGCAGAUGGCCAGCAGGUGCCUGAACUCUUGCACCAUCCUGUCCUUGUUGCUGUGUACAUCACUCAGGAGCUUAGCAUUUUGGAAGAGCAGGUCCCAUCAGCACAUUUGUUCCAGAGGUAGGUGUUCUCCUUAACAUAAGGACUCCUCCUCAUCUGGGCAGUAGACAGUGGCAUUGAUGCAGGAUUUCUUGAUGGCCAUGAUGUGCUGUGUGAGCGUGCCUGUCUUCUCUGAGAAGAUGUACCCUACCUGGCCCACCUUCUCAUUGAUGCUGGUGCUGUGGGAUUUGGCAGGCAAGUCCUAGGGCUCAUGGUUUAUCUGCAUGUCCGAGUUGAUGAAGAUGCUAUUCUCCAGAUAGAUGAAUUCAUCUAUGAUGAACAUGGCCAUGGGCACUAUGAUGCUGUGCAGGAUAGGGAAGCCCCUGAAGGUUUGGUGGUCACACUGUACAUGUGCUUCACAGACACAUGAUGGUGGUUGCAUGGCUUUGCAUUUUAUUAUCUUGUCCCAAAAGCCCAAGGUGAAUGCCAUAGAGAUCAGCACCGGGGACAUGAAGGUCAGGAUCACCAGUCUGUUCAGCAGACUGUCUACUCUGGUCCUCUUCAGAUGGACUUUGCACAGUUCCUCAUGAUCUGUGUGUCAGAACUGGCUUAGAUGAGUAUUCUGUGUCAGGUGUCUGUGUUUGAGUUUUACAGCUGCGUUAUAGAACGUUGCCACUGUCUGGGGAAUAUUUUUUGCCUUCCCACUGUGGUUGCCCCAUAAAGAGGUGCAUCUGAUUUUGAGUUUCUCACACACCUGACAUUGCCAGUUCCAUGAAGACCUGCCCCACCAUACCUCAGGGCUGUCCUGUGGGUGUUGGAAUCCUUGUUCUGGUGCACCAACCACUUGCUGCUCAGCUGGAUUCCUAGUGAUUACCACGUCAGAGAAAUGCGCCUGGCCUACAGGAUGUCUGUCUUCUCACGUGGCUCAUGCCAGGACUCUUGCUCAUCCACAUUCAUAUUUUGGACCAGUGCCUGGGGCUCCUUGCUCUGGAACUCAGCUUGUCCAGAAACUCUCUGUUAAUGACCACAACCAUGUUGACCUGUGGCAGGUUUUGUUGCUCUGCCAGUGGCCUCCAGUGCCCGCACUAUUUCCUUCUCCUCCAGAAUGAGAAUGUCCUCAGACAGUAGCUGGCAAGCAAAGCAAAUAUUCUCUGCUGUCUGGUUUGACCCCUGGUGUGGCCUAGUUCUGAAGAAGAAUGCUGAUCUCCUGGUGCUCCUGGAACCACGCUCCAUAAGUAUCCUCAUCCAACAUUUUGCAGGACAGGCACAGCGUGAGCACGUUUUGCUCAGGAGAGGAGGUUAAGGCCUCUUCCAGGGUCCACUUUUCAAGCCAUUCUCAUACCAGCAAUCAAAGAUGACUUCUCUUUACUUUUCUUUCAUGUAUUUCUAAGAAAAUUUUUAUGUCCAGUGUCCUUUUAGGUGAGAUUUGGGUAAUAUCAGUAUGCUUCUAUUAAAGUGAUAGUAAAACUUU